AGCCACCCUGCUGCUACAGAAAGCUAAUUAGACCCUCACAUAUUGCUCCCCCUGCUUGGCUAAUGAUGGUGGUGUGAACACUAUGACACAGAAGUGUCACUAACUAUCCCUGUCUCUAUGGCUAGCUGAACACAGGUCCACAGAUGAGAUAAAGUCCUUUAUUUCACCUGUAUCUCCUUCAGCACCAAAUCACAGGUGUGUGUACUGUAGGACUUUGCUUUUAGUGGGGAUUGGUGACAUGUAUAGCAGCAGAUGUUCCUCUGUGUCAGAGUCGUGUAUCCAUACUGUAGUCCAAUGUUAAGAAGAAUAGUUUUGUAGCAUAUAAAGAAUAUUCUUAUUUAUGCAUUGGAGGAAUGUUGUCCUGCACAACUGCUCUAAAGGUCAAGCGUGGCCCCAGAACAACAGAGUGCUGAAUGUGACCUGGUACCUCCUGUGACCCCCAGCUACAUCAGGAAAGAAGCCCAACGGAGCUCAUCAUGGAAUGAACAGGUAGCCUGCAGCCAUAUCAUCUGACAUUUGCCUCUAGUCAAAUGAAACGGUCAUGGCUAGAAGGGCUCCAGCUUUUGUCAAAUGAAACAGUCAUGGCUAGAAGGGCUCCAGCUUUUGUCAAAUUAACAUCAAAAGUAGAUUUUUUUGGGGACAUUUUAGCUAACCCUAACUGUUUUCCUAACCUUAACCUAAUUCUUAUGACCGAUUGCGUUAAUUCUCCUUACCGGCUGAGUACGUUCUCCUAACCUUCUACGAAAAGUCACAUUUGAAUAAAGCUGUUUCCCAUCUAUUCAAAACCAAAUGAAACCGGACGAUGUGCAUUGCAUUCUCCUUCUCCAGUCUCAGCCAAGAGGAUUCAAUAAAAUACACACACUACCACUGCACAAAAAGAGACAAGAACGUGCUCUAUUGUUGACAAUAUGCUAAGGUGAAUACAAAGUUAGCUUUGGAAAAUGUCAUCAAAUACAUUUUACGACACCGUGCAGCAUAAGAAAAAACACAAACAUGAAACAAACUUCCAAGAGACAAAUUAUCAAAGGCAACUAAUCUGUCAUACUUCACCAGGUCACAACAGCUAAAUCAAGAUUAGAAUGGAGGGAAACAACUCAUCAGACCUUUGAUGUUUACUACCUUUCUUAAUGGGCAUGAUUGGCCCAUGAUUACUCCUUUGGUUUCUGUAGAUAUGUAUAUGAAUACAGGCAGUAAGGGCACAAUGAAAUACAGUCUAUAAAUAUUAAUGAAGGCUUAAAUGUCACAUUCCAAACUGCCGUAAUCUGUGACAUUAGCUACAUUUAGAUCACUUUCACACACAAAUCACUUUAAUCUACUCCUCCACAUUGUAGUUUGAAUUUGAAAUUCAAUCAACCACUAUGUUACAAUGCCAAUGGCACUAUCAUGGCCGCAGGAAGAUGUUUUGUGGUGGGGGGGCUUUUAGUAGCAGGCUAGGAGAACUUACUCAGCAGGUUAGGAGAACUUACUCAGCAGGUUAGGAGAACUUACUCAGCAGGUUAGGAGAACUUACUCAGCAGGUUAGGAGAACUUACUCAGCAGGUUAGGAGAACUUACUCAGCAGGUUAGGAGAACUUACUCAGCAGGUUAGGAGAACUUACUCAGCAGGCUAGGAGAACUUACUCAGCAGGUUAGGAGAACUUACUCAGCAGGUUAGGAGAACUAACGUAGCAGGUUAGGAGAACUUACUCAGCAGGUUAGGAGAACUAACGUAGCAGGUUAGGAGAACUUACUCAGCAGGUUAGGAGAACUAACGUAGCAGGCUAGGAGAACUUAUUCAGUAUAACGUAGCAGGUUAGGAGAACUAACGUAGCAGGCUAGGAGAACUUACUCAGCAGGUUAGGAGAAUUAACGUAGCAGGUUAAGAUAAUUAACGUAGCAGGUUAGGAGAAUUAACGUAGCAGGUUAGGAGAACUUACUCAGCAAGUUAGGAGAAUUAAUGUAGCAGGUAAGGAGAACUUACUCAGCAGGUUAGGAGAAUUAACGUAGCAGGUUAAGAGAAUUAACAUAGCAGGUUAGGAGAAUUAACAUAGCAGGUUAGGAAAAUUAACAUAGCAGGUUAAGAGAAUUAACAUAGCAGGUUAGGAGAAUUAACGUAGCAGGUUUGACAACGUCUGACAAUACUGCAUUGCAAAAUGGGCUCAUCUUUCUCUCUCUCUCUCUCUCUCUCUCUCUGUCUCUCUCGCUCUGUCUCUCUGUCUCUCUCUCUGUCUCACACACAGAUAUUGACCAGGGAGACCAUGUGAAAAGAAACACACACACACACACACACACACACACACACACACACCACACACACACACACACACACACACACAGACACAGCCUGCUGUUUGGUCCUCGGUUAAUCUUGAUCUCAAGCGCCACCUUGUGUCCGUAAAUGUAAAAGUACACUGAGUGCUCUUUCCAUGACAGACUGACCAGGUGAAUCCAGGUGAAAGAUGAUCUCUUAUUGAUGUCCACUUCAAUCAGUGUAGAUGAAAGGUAGGAGACUGGUUAAAGAAGGAUUUUUAAGCCUUGAUACAAUUGAGACAUGGAUUGUGUGUGUGUGUGCCAUUCAGAGUGUGAAUGGGAAAGAACGGGGUAUGGUAGUAGGUGCCAGGCGCACCGGUUUGUAUCAAGAACUGCAACACUACUGGGUUUUUCACACUCAACAGUUUCCCGUGAGUAUGAAGAAUGGUCCACCAGCCAACUUGACACAACUGUGGGAAGCACUGGAGUCAACAUGGACCAGCAUCCUUUCGACACCUUGUAGAGUCCAUGCCCUGAAGAAUUGAGGCUGUUCUGCAACGCAAUAUUAGGAAGUGUUCUUCAUGUUUUGUACACUCAGUGUAAAGUAUAUUUUUCUAAAUGUAGACCUUCUUGUCUCAAGGUCUGUUCUAUGUGUGUAGAGUGAAUCUACAAGUCACAGAAUAAUUAUCAUCCAAGUCAAUUUUGCAGUUAGCUCACUGUUAGUCCAAAUCUCUGUUGUUGGUCUGACUGUUCAGGAUGGUCUCAUGGAAUACACUGGAAUGGGAAAGAAAAGGAUCAGAUUCAGUUGGAUGUUGUUUUGUGUGUGGCAAGACAUGUUUCGCUGUGGUAUUCGUCACGGGAUCUCUGAAACAACAUUUUAAGAACAAUCUACAAAAGAAACACACUUGAACACCAGUUUACAGCAAAUACUGUAGAUCACGUGUCAAACUCAUUCCACAGAGGAUGGAGUGUCUGCGUGUUUUCACUCCUCCCUUGUACAUGACUGAUGAAUUAAGGUCACUAUUUAGUAAGGAACGCUCCUCACCUGGUUGUCUAGGUCUUAAUUGAAAGGAAAAAACAAAAACCAGCA
ensembl:lncRNA